UCUUAUGGUUGAGUGUAGAAAGUGGUUCCUUGAGAUGGAAUCUACUCCUGGUGAAGAUGCUGUGAA
rnacentral:pre_miRNA from 1 species